AGUCGUAACAAGGUCUCCGUUGGUGAACCAGCGGAGGGAUCAUUACCGAGUUUACAACUCCCAAACCCAAUGUGAACCAUACCAAACUGUUGCCUCGGCGGGGUCACGCCCCGGGUGCGUCGCAGCCCCGGAACCAGGCGCCCGCCGGAGGGACCAACCAAACUCUUUCUGUAGUCCCCUCGCGGACGUUAUUUCUUACAGCUCUGAGCAAAAAUUCAAAAUGAAUCAAAACUUUCAACAACGGAUCUCUUGGUUCUGGCAUCGAUGAAGAACGCAGCGAAAUGCGAUAAGUAAUGUGAAUUGCAGAAUUCAGUGAAUCAUCGAAUCUUUGAACGCACAUUGCGCCCGCCAGUAUUCUGGCGGGCAUGCCUGUCCGAGCGUCAUUUCAACCCUCGAACCCCUCCGGGGGGUCGGCGUUGGGGAUCGGGAACCCCUAAGACGGGAUCCCGGCCCCGAAAUACAGUGGCGGUCUCGCCGCAGCCUCUCCUGCGCAGUAGUUUGCACAACUCGCACCGGGAGCGCGGCGCGUCCACGUCCGUAAAACACCCAACUUUCUGAGAUGUUGACCUCGGAUCAGGUAGGAAUACCCGCUGAACUUAAGCAUAUC
rnacentral:rRNA from 1 species